GGCCCUUAGGAGACAUCUGAUAAAAUUGGAAUGACACAGAGAAAGUAGUGUUGCCCCUACCUAAGGAUGACAUGUACAAAUUGAGAAAUGGCCCAAAUAACC
rnacentral:snRNA from 1 species